GAUCAUGGCUCAGGAUGAACGCUGGCGGCGUGCUUAACACAUGCAAGUCGAACGAAGCACUUAAGAUUGAUUCUUCGGAUGAUGUCUUUUGUGACUUAGUGGCGGACGGGUGAGUAACGCGUGGGUAACCUGCCUCACACAGGGGGAUAACAGUUAGAAAUGACUGCUAAUACCGCAUAACCCGAUAGGAUCGCAUGAUCCAGACGGAAAAGAUUUAUCGGUGUGAGAUCGG
rnacentral:rRNA from 1 species